CUUUAUGAUCUCCUCCCUGGGGCCUUAAAUUUUGUUUGUCUGCAACCACAUCAUCCCAGCCUAUCUCACAACCGUAGUUACUACUACAAUACUAUGCAUUAAUUCCAACCAUGUAAGGACUUGUUUAGAGUCACAUUUAAAAAAUAAUUUAGAGCUGUACAUGGAGGAAAAAAGUCAAAAGCCUAAGCCUGCACAACUCUGCAAGGAUCUGAUGGAGAUGGAGUUGGUUUAAGUGGUGUGAUGGAAAACCUGACUUCCAUUAAAGUUGAAAGGAGGAAACUUGUCUGGGAUGCAGCAGCCUCUGUAAAUAAGACACGGUGGAACGAGUUGGAAGCGAUGGAGGAAGUACAGCCAUAUCAUGUGUCACUUCUAAAGAAAUAAGAACCGAGCCCAGUGUCACCUCAGUGUAACUCUGAAGCCUCUAGUCCUUCUCAUCUGGUUGAAAGCAAAAUAUGUAGUUUUGGAGACAGAACUUUAACACAGGUAAGCAGCUGCAGAGAACCAUGUUUUGCUCACUCAAUGUGACUUACACUUACUAACUGGUUUUCCUUACAGCUCUCUCUUUGCAAGUAACUCCACUGUCACAUGUUUUGUUGGCAAGGGAAGGCUCAAAUAGCCACCUGCAGACUGUCCAGCCAGGCACCAGAGCAACUUGUACUGUCCAGUCAGAAUCAAAGGCACAGAACAUCUACACAACUGACUGCUUGCUGUACUCCAGCAAGCAUCAGAGCUGAAGGGCACAGGCCUAACACACUGCUUAAGCUCACAGAGAGCAAUAAAGGUGGCUGUAUCCCAGUCUGACGUAGAUGCACACCCUGAAUACAGUGUAAAACAAUACUACUCAAUAUGCUGUGACAAGAGGCAGAUGCUGAUGAAUUCGUGUCAUGACAAGCAAAUCCAUCCUUGUUAAAGAAAUCGCUCUGCAAGAGUUCAGCACAGGAUGGUCUUUUGUCUGGGUCAAUCUGCAAACACUUCUGUCAAACCAAUGUAAACAGCAGAAGGCAGAAAUGAAACAAAGGCUUUAGCAUUUCCAAAUGAUGUCAAGAAAAACAGCUGCAAGGCUCCCACUUCUAUGGCCUGCUACACAGAGAUGAGCCCAAGAGAUGUAUCCUUUUUCCGUGAGAAAUGUUUAAUAUUCGUUGGCUACAUCCACUCAAAUCACAUUACCUAUAGCGUGCUACAAGUCCUCAGAGAAAGUGCAGCAGCCCCUGUGGAGCUGGAGAUGAUGAGCUCAGUCUUCCCCAUUACCCAGGAGAGUAGCUGUUCUCACUGAACUACCAACCCAAGCAGCUGAUUAUUGCAUGGGUAGUUGUUAAGCCAGCUUAACAGAGCUAGCUCUUGGCAGGCUGCAUUCAGUUCCCCAUCGCAAGUGACAAGUAUCUGACAAAGACACUAAAUUCCAAAGAGAACUUCUCCAGGGAACUUCCAAAAUGAUCAGUUACUUACC